UACGGGGGGGGCAAGCGUUGUUCGGAUUUACUGGGCGUAAAGGGCUCGUAGGUGGCCAACUAAGUCGGACGUGAAAUCCCUCAGCUUAACUGGGGAACUGCGUCCGAUACUGGAUGGCUUGAGUUUGGGAGAGGGAUGCGGAAUUCCAGGUGUAGCGGUGAAAUGCGUAGAUAUCUGGAGGAACACCGGUGGCGAAGGCGGCAUCCUGGACCAACACUGACACUGAGGAGCGAAAGCCAGGGGAGCAAACGGG
rnacentral:rRNA from 1 species